CCUACGGGAGGCAGCAGUAGGGAAUCUUCCACAAUGGACGAAAGUCUGAUGGAGCAACGCCGCGUGAGUGAAGAAGGGUUUCUGCUCGUAAAGCUCUGUUGGUAGUGAAGAAAGAUAGAGGUAGUAACUGGCCUUUAUUUGACGGUAAUUACUUAGACAGUCACGGCUAACUACGUGCCAGCAGCCGCGGUAAUACGUAGGUGGCAAGCGUUGUCCGGAUUUAUUGGGCGUAAAGCGAGUGCAGGCGGUUCAAUAAGUCUGAUGUGAAAGCCUUCGGCCCAACCGGAGAAUUGCAUCAGAAACUGUUGAACUGGAGUGAAGAAGAGGAGAGUGGAACUCCAUGUGUAGCGGUGGAAUGCGUAGAUAUAUGGAAGAACACCAGUGGCGAAGGCGGCUCUCUGGUCUGCAACUGACGCUGAGGCUCGAAAGCAUGGGUAGCGAACAGGAUUAGAUACCCGAGUAGUC
rnacentral:rRNA from 1 species